GAGAUAGGUGAAACCCUUCGGGGCAAGAAGACAGGUGGUGCAUGGUUGUCGUCAGCUCGUGUCGUGAGAUGUUGGGUUAAGUCCCGUAACGAGCGCAACCCUUAUCAUUAGUUGCCAGCAUUCAGUUGGGGACUCUAAUGAGACUGCCGGUGACAAACCGGAGGAAGGUGGGGAUGACGUCAAAUCAUCAUGCCCCUUAUGACCUGGGCUACACACGUGCUACAAUGGAUGGUACAGCGAGCAGCGACCCCGCGAGGGCAAGCGAAUCUCUCAAAGCCAUUCUCAGUUCGGAUCGUUCUCUGCAACUCGAGAGCGUGAAGCCGGAAUCGCUAGUAAUCGUGGAUCAGCACGCCACGGUGA
rnacentral:rRNA from 1 species